AACGCACAUUGCGCCCUCCGGCAUUCCGGGGGGCAUGCCUGUCCGAGCGUCAUUACACCAAUCAAGCACCGCUUGGCCUUGGACGACGCCCCGCCCACGCGGCGGGGCGCGUCCCAAAGAUUUCGGCAGAGCCACACGGUCCGCCGGGCGUAGCAGUGAAGUUAACCCUUCGACGUCCGCGCGGCCGCGUCUCCCGCCGCCCGAAGCACGUCGCCCCCGGGCGACACCAAAGGUUGACCUCGGAUCAGGUAGGGAUACCCGCUGAACUUAA
rnacentral:misc_RNA from 1 species